rnacentral:rRNA from 1 species
CCCGACUGCUAUUUGGGUGAGGAUAAGCCAUGCGAGUUGAAUGGGAAACCUAAAGUUCCCAUGGCAAACUGCUCAGUAACACAUGAUCAACUUACCCUAUAGAGAAAAAUAACCUCGGGAAACUGAGGAUAAUAUUUCAUAGCUGAAUUGGCUUGGAAAAGUUUUUCGGCGAAAAGGGUAAAAAAAAUGGUUUUUAUCUGCUAUAGGAUAGGAUCGUGUUCGAUUAUGGUUGUUGGUGAGGUAAUGGCUCACCAAGCCGAUAAUCGAUAGGGGCCGUGAGAGCGGGAGCCCCGAGAUGGGUACUGAGACAACGACCCAGGCCUUACGAGGCGCAGCAGGCGCGAAACCUCCGCAAUACACGAAAGUGUGACGGGGUUACCCAAAGUGUUCAAUAGAACUGUGGUAGGUGAGUAAUGUUCCCUACUAGAAAGGAGAGGGCAAGGCUGGUGCCAGCCGCCGCGGUAAAACCAGCUCUUCAAGUGGUCGGGAUAAUAUUGGGCUUAAAGUGUCCGUAGCCGGUUUAGUAAGUUCCUGGUAAAAUCGGGUAGCUUAACUAUCUAUAUGCUAGGAAUACUACUAUACUAGAGGGCGGGAGAGGUCUGAGGUACUACAGGGGUAGGGGUGAAAUCCUAUAAUCCCGGGAGGACCACCAGUGGCGAAGGCUGUCGACUAGAACGCGCUCGACGGUGAGGGACGAAAGCUGGGGGAGCGAACCGGAUUAGAUACCCGGGUAGUCCCAGCCGUAAACGAUGCGAGCUAGGUGUUGGAAUGGCUACGUGCCAUUUCAGUGCCGCAGGGAAGCCAUUAAGCUCGCCGCCUGGGGAGUACGGCCGCAAGGCUGAAACUUAAAGGAAUUGGCGGGGGAGCGCCACAAGGCGUGAAGCUUGCGGUUCA